rnacentral:rRNA from 1 species
AAGUCUGAUGUGAAAGCCUUCGGCUUAACCGGAGAAGUGCAUCGGAAACUGGAUAACUUGAGUGCAGAAGAGGGUAGUGGAACUCCCAUGUGUAGCGGUGGAAUGCGUAGAUAUAUGGAAGAACACCAGUGGCGAAGGCGGCUACCUGGUCUGCAACUGACGCUGAGACUCGAAAGCAUGGGUAGCGAACAGGAUUAGAUACCCUGGUAG